rnacentral:rRNA from 1 species
GAUUAACGCUGGCGGCGUGCAUAACACAUGCAAGUCGAACGAUGAAACUUAACUGAUUUCUUCGGAAUGAUUUUAAGUGGAUUAGUGGCGGACGGGUGAGUAACGCGUGAGUAACCUGCCUUGGAGAAGGGGAUAGCCUUUGGAAACGAAGAAUAAUACCCUAUGAUAUGAUAAUAUCUCAUGAUAUUAUCAUCAAAGAUUUAUCGCUCUAAGAUGGACUUGCGUCUGAUUAGUUAGUUGGUGAGGUAACAGCUCACCAAGGCAGCGAUCAGUAGCCGGCUUGAGAGAGUGUACGGCCACCUUGGGACUGGGACAAGGCCCAGACUCCUACGGAAGGCAGCAGUGGGGAAUUUUGCACAAUGGGGGAAACCCUGAUGCAGCGACGCCGCGUGAUUUAGAAGGCCUUCGGGUUGUAAAAAUCUUUUGUAUGGGAAGAAAAUGACAGUACCAUACGAAUAAGGACCGGCUAAUUACGUG